GACAGAGGUCCCGAGCGUUAGGCGGAAUCACUGGGCUUAAAGCGUGUGUAGGCGGAUUUGUAAGUACCUUGUGAAAUCCCACGGCUUAACCGUGGAACUGCUUGGUAUACUGCUUAGCUUGGGCCAGCUAGGGGCUACCGGAACAAGUGGUGGAGCGGUGAAAUGCGUAGAUAUUGGGAGGAACACCAGUGGCGAAGGCGGCUUGCCAGAACGCACUCGACGGUGAGGGAUGAAAGCUGGGGGAGCAAACCGG
rnacentral:rRNA from 1 species